UAAUCAACUAACUACAUUAAUUAUUAUAGUCUGCGUUCAAUUAUCAUUUAUAAACAUGUUUUUAUGAUGUUCUUGCCUUGAUCUAUUUUUCUUUGCGAAUGCACAUAGAAGUUGAUCGGAGAACUGAGCUGGAGGAUCGGGUAUGAACAGGGAGUGCUCACCCAGGCUCUCUGUGCCCCCCUCUGGCUGCAGACAUUGGGCACUCUGGUCCUGGCUGCAGGAAGGCAGGAAGGCUGGUCCUCUCAGUAGAGAUAUGAUGCAUAUGGGCUCACAUCAAACACCUGACCAAUGAAGAGGUGAAGAGCUAGUGAAAACAAACUAUUGAAGGACAGCCGGGACUGCACUGCAGUAUUUACUCAGUUCUUAUUUCCCCAGUGGUAAUAUUGGUGGUAUUUUAUAAAGCAGGUUCAGUGAAAACCUAGAGUUAGUUGACUCAGAGUUGAUGGAAACUCUGGGUUUACGGUUUCAAAGAGCCAGUUCAAUUUUUUUCUGAGUCAGUUACUACGGCAACAUACUUC
ensembl:lncRNA